UGUGCGCGUGCAGACGGGGGGCGCAUCGCUAACAAAUCGAACCCGCCAUAAAGUGAGGAGCGCGGCUGGCCGGGUCCGCGGGGGGCGGACGGGGGCGGACGGGGAGCGGGCUUGCCGCGGGCCGCCUUGCUCCUCCCCGGCCCGGCGCUCCCCGCGCAGCGACACGUUAAUAAAUGUUUCCUUUUAUCCGCUUUCACAAGGGCCCGCCCGGGUCUGCAAACACCCGGCCGCCCUUUGCCGAGAGCCCGCCGGUCGGCUCGCCCCGCACCGCGCACCUGGCCCUGGAGCCGCCGGCUGCAGCCCGAGCGCCCAGCUAGACCGCAGGGUGAACUGCCCAGCGCCCCGGAGGCUUCCCGAGCAGAAACUCGGUUUUCUUUGGGUGGCGAUGUACCACCCUGAAGAGGCGGUGUAAGCUUUUAAGCCAGAGUUUCUCCGAGGGGGUCAUUGGACCAGCAGCAUCAGCGUCACCUGGGAACUUGUUAGAAAUGCAGACUCUUGGGAUGCCCGGGUGGCUCAGUGGUUCAGUGUCUGCCUUGGGCUCAGGUUGUGAUCCCAGAGUCCCGGGAUCGAGUCCUGCAUCAGGCUCCCUGCAUGGACCCUGCUUCUCCCUCUGCCUGUGUCUCUGCUUCUCUCUUUGUGUUUCUCAUGAAUAAAUAAGUAAAAAAAUCUUAAAAAAAAAAAAAA
rnacentral:lncRNA from 12 species